rnacentral:rRNA from 1 species
CAGCAGCCGCGGGAAAACGUAGGUGGCAAGCGUUAUCCGGAAUUAUUGGGCGUAAAGCGCGCGUAGGCGGUUUCUUAAGUCUGAUGUGAAAGCCCACGGCUCAACCGUGGAGGGUUAUUGGAAACUGGGAAACUUGAGUGCAGAAGAGGAAAGUGGAAUUCCAUGUGUAGCGGUGAAAUGCGCAGAGAUAUGGAGGAACACCAGUGGCGAAGGCGACUUUCUGGUCUGUAACUGACGCUGAUGUGCGAAAGCGUGGGGAUCAAACAGGAUUAGAUACCCCAGUAGUCCCUGUCUCUUAUAC